UAAAUGGCCGCGGUAAUUUGACCGUGCGAAGGUAGCAUAAUCAAUAGUCUUUUAAUUGAAGGCUGGAAUGAAUGGUCGGACGAGAAAUAAGUUGUCUCCUUUUAUAAUCUUGAAUUUUACUUUUAAGUGAAAAGGCUUAAAUAAGUUGGUGGGACGAUAAGACCCUAUAAAACUUUACAAGGAAGUAUAAUUUUUUAGGUGAGAAGUGUAAAAAGUAUUUGUGCUUGUCUUGUUUUGUUGGGGCGACAAGAAUAUAAUAAUUGUUCUGUAACUGUUAAAAAAAAAGAAUAAUAUUAAUUAGAUUUUGAUCCAGUAUUAUUGAUUAAAAGAUCAAGUUACUUUAGGGAUAACAGCGUAAUUUUUUUUGAGAGUUCUUAUCGACAAAAUUAGUUGCGACCUCGAUGUUGAAUUAAAGUUUCCUUUUUGUGUAGAAGCAUAGAGGGUAGGUCUGUUCGACCUUUAAAACUUUACAUGAUUUGAGUUCAAACCGGUGUGAGCCAGGUUGGGUUUCUAUCUAA
rnacentral:rRNA from 1 species